rnacentral:rRNA from 1 species
UACAGAGACUGCAAGCGUUAUUCGGAUUCACUGGGCGUAAAGGGUGCGCAGGCGGCCAAGUGUGUGAGGCGUGAAAGCCUGGGCUUAACUCCAGAAUUGCACCUCAAACUACAUGGCUAGAGCAUUGGAGAGGGUAGCAGAAUUCACGGUGUAGCAGUGAAAUGCGUAGAUAUCGUGAGGAAUACCAGAGGCGAAGGCGGCUACCUGGACAAUUGCUGACGCUCAGGCACGAAAGCGUGGGGAGCAAAAGGG